GCUCUUUGAAAUGUCCGGCGCCAGAAUGUCUGGGUGCUUUGGUUGGAGAGGGUCCCAUUUCCAGUCAUUCUUCAGCCUGGUGAUUCCCGCGCUCCCCUGAGGAGCAUAUGAAAAAUUAGGAUUACCGAAAAUACUGAAGAAAGACUACCUCUGAUUGGACUCUUCUCAAGGAAUUAAUAAUUCAAGAACUAAGGAAAGAAAAAAGUGAUUAUAUGAAAAUACUGAAGUUGAUCGUAGCAACUGAAGGCUGAUCCUGUGCUGAAGUACAUUGGUGCAAUCUUGGCUCACUGCAUCUCCACCCCAGGUUCAAGCGAUUCUCCUGCCUCAGCCUCCCAAGCAGCUGGGAUUACAGGUUUUGCCUUUUCCAGAAUGUCACAUAAAUGGAAUCAUGCUGUGUCCGGAAUUGGUGGGUUCUUGGUCUCACUGACUUCAAGAAUGACGCCAUGGACCCUCACGGUGAGUGUUACAGCUCUUAAGGUGGCGCGUCUGGAGUUUGUUCCUUCUGAUGUUCGGAUGUGUUCGGAGUUUCUUCCUUCUGGUGGGUUCGUGGUCUCGCUGGCUCAGGAGUGAAGCU
rnacentral:antisense_RNA from 1 species